rnacentral:lncRNA from 1 species
UGCAGUUAAAGAACAGAGCUGUCACCCGUGUGUUACUACCUUGACAGUGGGUGCCCUUAUCUCAGUACUGAAGGGGAGCAGGGAGAGACAUGAGGGGUGAGGUGCUUGUUCAUGGCGUCCUCUCACACACUAGCUGCCCUGGAGCAAGACUGGAGCCUUUCCCUUCCUUGUCCUGCUCAUCUCCCAUACCUCUGCAUGCCACCUCUUCCCUCACAAAGGUCCUCUCCUAGGUCUUUGUGGUCACUGCAGGGAAUUGCUUGUGCAGCUCAAAUGCUUCCUUCUUGUCCCACAUUCCUUUUCUACAUUAAUUUGUCCUUGGCACCAUCCGCCAUUCCCCUACUGCCUUGAUCAUAAUCACUAUGGUGUCUUUGCUCAGUGAUUGAUGUCCACCCAGCUGAUAGGGCAGCUGUACCUUGUUCAUGGUAUUUCUCAGAGCUCCACACAGUGCAGACAUCAGCACCCAGGGCGAUGAGAGCCCUGUUGAGGUGAGAGGCAUGGCAUGUGUUGCAGGACCGUCUUGGAUCUCCUACCGAGUGUUCCCAUCCCUCGUGCUCUCUGCCUGUUCAUGCUGGCCUGACUCUCCCUCUCUCCUGGAGGUGUGCUUCGGCUCCUGGACCACGGGGAAGAAUACGUCUUCACGCUGCCCAGUGCCUACGCCCGCUCCAUCCUCACUGUCCCAUGGGUGGAGCUUGGAGGGAAGGUGAACAUCAGCUGUGCCAAGACUGGGUACUCUGCCACGGUGACAUUCCACACGAAGCCCUUCUAUGGCGGGAAGGUCCACAGGGUCACAGCUGAAGUGAAGCACAACCCCACCAACACCAUCGUCUGCAAAGCGCACGGGGAGUGGAACGGCACCUUGGAGUUCACCUACAGCAACGGGGAGACCAAAGUCAUCGACACGACCACCCUGCCUGUGUAUCCUAAGAAGCUUAGACCUCUGGAGAAGCAGGGGCCCAUGGAGUCCAGGAACCUCUGGCAGGAAGUCACCCACUAC